ensembl:lncRNA
GGGUUUGAGGUCUAUAUGGGAUCCUGGGGUCUAUGGGGUGGGAUUUGAGGUCUAUAUGGGGUCUAUGGGGUCGGAUUUGGGGUCUAUACGGGAUCUAUACGGGAUUUGGGGUCUAUGGGUUUGGAUUUGGGGUCUAUAUGGGGUCUACAGAGUGGGAUUUGAGGUCUAUAUGGGAUCCUGGGGUCUAUGGGGUGGGAUUUGGGGUCUAUAUGGGAUCCUGGAGUCUAUGGGGUGGGCUUUAGGGUCUAUAUGGGGUCUAUGGGGUCGGAUUUGGGGUCUAUAUGGGGUCUAUAUGGGGUCUAUGGGGUGGGAUUUGAGGUCUAUAUGGGAUCCUGGGGUCUAUGGGGUGGGAUUUGAGCUCUAUAUGGGGUCUAUGGGGUCGGAUUUGGGGUCUAUACGGGAUCUAUACAGGAUUUAGGGUCUAUGGGGAGGGCUUUGGGGUCUAUAUGGGGUGUAUGGGGUGGGAUUUGAGGUCUAUAUGGGGUCUAUGGGGUGGGAUUUGGGGUCUAUAUGGGGUCUAUAUGGGGUCUAUGGGGUGGGAUUUGAGGUCUAUAUGGGAUCCUGGGAUCUAUGGGGUGGGAUUCGGGGUCCAUAUGGGGAACUAUGGGAGUCUAUGGGGUGGGAUUUGAGGUCUAUACGGGGUCUAUGGGGUCGGAUUUGGGGUCUAUAUGGGAUCUAUACGGGAUUUGGGGUCUAUGGGGAGGGCUUUGGGGUCUAUAUGGGGUGUAUGGGGUGGGAUUUGAGGUCUAUAUGGGGUGUAUGGGGUGGGAUUUGGGGUCUAUAUGGGGUCUAUGGGGUGGGAUUUGAGGUCUAUAUGGGAUCCUGGGGUCUAUGGGGUGGGAUUUGAGGUCUAUAUGGGGUCUAUGGGGUGGGAUUUGGGGUCUAUAUGGGAUCUAUACGGGAUUUGGGGUCUAUGGGGAGGGCUUUGGGGUCUAUAUGGGGUGUAUGGGGUGGGAUUUGAGGUCUAUAUGGGGUUUAUGGGGUGGGAUUUGAGGUCUAUAUGGGAUCCUGGGGUCUAUGGGGUGGGAUUCGGGGUCCAUAUUGGGGGUCUAUGGGG